rnacentral:ncRNA from 1 species
GUGUGGAUUACACGUUUUAAGUUAAGGCAAAGUUUAAUUUUGGCUUGAAAUUUGGCUGUUUUAUUUAUUUAUAUGCAAUUUAUUAUGAUUAAAUAAGUCUUAGAAAGAUGGAGGAAGGCAGUAUGUAUAAUUAAGAAUUAGGGGAACCUAGACUUAGAAAUUAUUAUUUAGUACAGACUUAAUUUGUGCCAGCAGUUGCGGUUAUACAAAUUGUACAGGUUAAAUUUAUUUAAUUAAAUUAAAUGUUAAAUAUAAUUAGUAGAUUAAAUUCAAAUUUAUUAGGUGAAAUUUUAAAUUUGAUUUUUCUAUUUAAGUGUUUUUGAAGUUGGGAAAUUUCUCUUUAGACUAGGAUUAGAUACCCUAUUAUUGGAAAAGUAUUAUCAAAGUUAAAAUUACUAAUAGCUAUGAUCUUUAAAAUUAAAGAAUUUGGCGGUAUUUUAGUCUAUUCAGAGGAACCUGUUUUAUAAUUGAUAGUCCACGAUUAGUUUUACUUUAGAUCUAAGCUUGUAUAUCGCCGUAGUUAGAAUAUUUUAGUAGAAUAUAAAUAUUCAAGGGAUCAAAUUAAAUAGGAAUUCAGGUCAAGGUGCAGUUUAUUUUAAAGGAAAAAUGGGUUACAUUGUAUUUAUAGUUGGUCUUUGUAUUUGAAAAGUUUUAGUAAACUGGAUUUGAUAGUAAUUCUCCUUAUCUUUUUAGGAUGAUUAUGCUCUAAAAUAUGCACAUAUCGCCCGUCACUUUCACUUAAGGUGAAAUAAGUCGUAACAUAGUAGGUCUAUUGGAAAAUGGGCCUGGAAUG